UACGAAGGGUGCAAGCGUUAUUCAGAAUGAUUGGGCGUAAAGGGUGCGCAGGCGGUAAAUUAAGUCAACUGUUCAAUUUCCCGGCCUAACUGGGAGUCAGCAGUAGAUACUGGUUUACUAGAGAAUGAAAGAGAGAAGUGGAAUUCUCGGAGUAGCGGUAAAAUGCGUAGAUCUCGAGAGGAACGUCGAUGGCGAAGGCAGCUUCUUGGUUCAUUUCUGACGCUCAUGCACGAAAGCGUGGGGAGCAAACAGG
rnacentral:rRNA from 1 species